GGGGAUGUAUUUGGUUUCGACAAUCCUCUAGAAGUAAGAAUAGCGAGUAGUGGAUUCUCGUUGGCCACUUAAAAAACGAGAAAAUAAAAAUAAACGCUGAUAAUAGAGAAUUAGCAUACGCUGCCUAAGUUUGGUGGCACAUCUUGCUUAGAACUUCCUACGGUUUUGAGAUAAGGUGUUUAAAAACAAGUAGGAUAACAAAACUAUUUUUUCCUUGAAAAUAGUGGGUAACCAAAAGGAUACUUUUUUCUUUUUCUUGUUUGUUGUAGAAAGGGAAAAGGAAAUAAAACAACAAACUGCACUCGGAGAAGUUCUUAUGGAAAGGGGCUUGGACAGGAGUUCGACUCUCCUCAUCUCCACCA
rnacentral:tmRNA from 1 species